UAAACGAUGUNGAUUAGCUGUUGGGCAACUUGAUUGCUUAGUAGCGUAGCUAACGCGUGAAAUCGACCGCCUGGGGAGUACGGUCGCAAGAUUAAAACUCAAAGGAAUUGACGGGGACCCGCACAAGCGGUGGAUGAUGUGGAUUAAUUCGAGGCAACGCGAAGAACCUUACCUGGUCUUGACAUGUACGGAAGAACUCAGAGACGAGUUUGUGCCUUCGGGAGCCGUAACACAGGUGCUGCAUGGCUGUCGUCAGCUCGUGUCGUGAGAUGUUGGGUUAAGUCCCGCAACGAGCGCAACCCUUGUCAUUAGUUGCCAUCAUUUAGUUGGGCACUCUAAUGAGACUGCCGGUGACAAACCGGAGGAAGGUGGGGAUGACGUCAAGUCCUCAUGGCCCUUAUGACCAGGGCUUCACACGUCAUACAAUGGUCGGUACAGAGGGUAGCCAAGCCGCGAGGUGGAGUCAAUCCCAGAAAACCGAUCGUAGUCCGGAUUGCACUCUGCAACUCG
rnacentral:rRNA from 1 species